AAGGCUCUGGGUCGUUGACCGGAAGAUCAGGGGUUCAAGCCCCAGCACCGCCAAGUUGCCACUGUUGGGCCCUUGAGCAAGGCCCUUAACUCUCUCUCUGCUCCAGGGGCGCCGUAUCAUGGCUGACCCUGCGCUCUGACCCCAACCUCCAAGGAUGGGAUAUGCGAAGAAAGAAUUUCACUGUGUUGUAAUGUAUAUGUGACAAAUAAAGGCUGUUUCAUUUCAUUUCAAGUCAAAGCUCCAUAAUAUUUCCCAGUCCUGUAGAGUCCAAUUGCACAGACAAUUGCAAACAUAAUGUAACACCACAGACUUUGGCUAAAAAUUAGUCUACGCCCUGCAGUAAACACUGAGUCUGACUAGUAUCUUCAUUUUGGCAAGUGUUUAAAUGAUACACAUUGUAGGUACAGUGGAACCUCAGUAUACAAAUUAAUUCAUUCUUGGAGGUGAGAUCUUAUGGCGAAAAUUCGUAUUUCAGCAAGUAAAUGCAGAUAAUCCGUUCCAGCCACCCAAAAAUAUUACCAAUAUUACCAAUUUCCAAGGGUCAGGGGUCCUCACAGGAAGUCAUGUCACCAAGCUCAGAACAGCCCACCCAUGCCACCAAUCUGUCAACAAUCUGUCUGAAAAAUCACCUAGCUUUUGAACGCAUGCUGAAGGCAAGUUUGUAUCGUGGGUUGACUCUUUAGAAACAGCUUUCCCUGACUGAAAAAAAAAUUCGUAAACUUGAAUUGGUUGGCUUCACUUGCCUUUCCACUGAGGCAAAAGAGUUUUGAACAGCUCCCGGACGUAUGCGCAACUUAGCUGGCAAAUUUCUUGGAAAAUUGUAGAGGGUUAAUGGCCUUUUUCAGGGGCCCAACGGCGGCAGCUUGGCAGUCCCCGUUCUUGAAGACCCGAUCUUCCGAGCAACAACCCAGAGCUUUAACCACCUAAGCCAAAGGGAUCUAAACUACUACUUCAUGUAGACCAGGGAUGUACAACCUUAUCUACAAAGGGUCGGUGUGGGUGCAAGCUUUCAUACCAAUCAAGCACGGGCCACACCUGAUUCCACUUGUUGAAUCAACUGAUCUUGGCUUUCAAUAGGCUCAGGUGUGGCUUCUGCUUGGUUGGAAUGAAAACCUGUGGAUAAGACUGGACACCUCUGAUGUAGACCAAAGUUGACAAAAGUACAUAGAAUAGAAAAAAUAUUAAAUCCAUCUAUUUUCUGUUCCACUUAUCCUACAAAGGGUUACAGGAAACCUCCUAGUGACGAAAUUCUAAGAAAAUUCUUAGAAUUAUGACAUUUUCUUAGAAUUUCCCCUUAAAUUUAGGACUAAAUCUUAGUAAAGAUAAAAAUGAUUCACAAAACAUCUUAGCCCUAAAAACAGCUCCUAAGGUAAAAAUUGUUAAGUGUAGAGAGGAGGACUUUUAAGAGGCUUAAGAGUUUCUAUAGCAGAGAACAAAAUGUUGGAAAGAAGAAAUAUUCUCCAAACCCUGAAAAAUCGAGAGUUAAUUGAACGCUACAGAUUGGAUCACGAUGGGAUACUGUUUGUGGUCGAACUUAUUAGAGAUGUGCUCACAUCUCCCACCCAAUGUAGUAAUGCCAUAACGCCAGAAAUGAAAGUGAUUACAACACUGAGGUAUUUGGCAACUGGAAAAAUGCAACAGUGCAGUAGUGAUGACUUGUGUCUGUCACAACCUUCCAUCAGCAGAGUAAUCACAUGGAUGCCAGGAUACUGUCUGAGAGUGGCCUGAGAUAGCUUUUUGAAGGACAUUAUGUGCCAGUUAACUGUCAUUUGUUAGGGGACAGUGGAUAUACAUGCAAACCAUGGCUCCUCACACCUUACCUCCACCCAGACCCAGGAUAACAGCUAAACUACUACAGAGCCCACAAGAAAACACACUCAGUAGAUGAGCAGGGUAUUGGCCAGCUGAAGAGGAGAUUUCAUGUGUUGCGUGGAGAAGUGCGUCUGUCACCAGCUAAGGUCUGCAACGUCAUUACGGCCUGUGCAGUGCUUCACAACAUCUGCAAAGCAUGACAAAUCCCAGAACCUCUCGAAAGCAGCCAUGGUAACGCUGAUGAAGAUGAUGGUGAUGAAGAUGAUGAUGAUGAAGACACUCAGUUUACCCAGGGGAGAGACAUGUCCCAGAGUGGGAUUCGUCACAGACCUCAAUUUACAAAUUUGCAUUUUAGCAGGGUGUUGGGGUAGCUGGAACAGGCAGGCUUAUCUGAUACACUGGUUGAGGCUGAGGGUCGCACACCUGUGACGUUGGCAGCCCCGCUUCCUCUGACAGCUCCAUGCUGCAGAAAAUGCGGAAAACAAUUCUUUUAUUUAUUGUUUUGUUUGUUGUUCACAUGCGAGAACACAAAUGA